CAACUACUCCCUCCGUUCGGAAUUACUUGUCUCGGAAAUGGAUGUAUCUAGAACUAAAAUACGUCUAGAUACAUCCAUUUCUGCAACAAGUAAUUCCGAACGGAGGGAGUAAUAU
rnacentral:pre_miRNA from 1 species